rnacentral:rRNA from 1 species
AUGCAAGUGUAAGUUCACGCCACGCUUCAGAACGGGCGAAACCGCGAAUGGCUCAGGAACCGGACCUAAUCCUCGGGACCGUAAUCCUCCUCGGAGGCGAUGGAUAACUGUGGCAAUUCUAGAGCUAAUACAUGUGACACAGGCCGCGAUCGGCCGUCGCGUCGUGGUCGCCUCGCCUCGCGCGCUGGCACCCGCGGCGGCCGUCUUGGGUCGCGGCGCUACAUAUUAGACUGAGACCGAUGCGCGAUUCCCGUCCUCCCUCGUGGCUUGCUGCGGGGGAUCAAGGUCGGCGCGCUCCGCUUUGGUGACUCUGGAUAACUCACUGGUCGAUCGCACGGGCUUCACGCCCGGCGACGGGUCCCUCGAGGGUCCGCCCUAUCAACUGUCGACGGUCGGUUAAGUGCCUACCGUGGUUACUACGGGUAACGGGGAAUCGGGGUUCGAUUCCGGAGAGGGAGCAUGCGAAACGGCUACCACA